rnacentral:rRNA from 1 species
CGGACGGGUGAGUAACGCGUGGGUAACCUGCCCCAUACAGGGGGAUAACAGUUAGAAAUGACUGCUAAUACCGCAUAAGCGCACUGCAUCGCAUGAUGAAGUGUGAAAAACUGAGGUGGUAUGGGAUGGGCCCGCGUCUGAUUAGCCAGUUGGCGGGGUAACGGCCCACCAAAGCGACGAUCAGUAGCCGACCUGAGAGGGUGACCGGCCACAUUGGGACUGAGACACGGCCCAAACUCCUACGGAAGGCAGCAG